GCGCUACAUUUGCCUGUAUUUGUAUCAAAAAUUAAGGGGGUGUUAACUGCCUGGCGCCGUAGAAAUUGAUUUCUGACAGUGAUAGAAAGUUUUAAUUUUAAUUAGCAACUGAAAUAGUAAGCUGAUAUUUAAAGUUACCUAAGCACAGCUGCAUUUAUGUUCAUUUGCUUUGUUUUAAGGAGUAGCUGAGUGAGUUACACAGCAUUGCUAUUGUAGGGAAGGUCAGGUCUUAUGGACAGAGUGAGAACUACUUGGAAGAUCCCUUUUCUAUUGAUGGCGAGCCUCCCAGUGUGAUCUUGAAGAGACGCAGACCAACUCAUCGAACACUUCCCCUGGUGGUAGAUCUUCAGAAAUAUUACACACUGGACCUUUAACUGACCUGGCUCAGAUAGGCUCGCAUUGUCACACAGGAUGCACCAAUGGUUCCUGUGGGAUUCUGCUACUCUGAAGAUUGCUAUCCCACACACUUCUUGACAAGAAGAGCAGACUUGAACAGUGAGUGUGUUAAAAGGAAGAGACAGCUGUAAAAGGCCAUUUUAAACCCCCUGGGAGAAGAUGUUGGAGAAAAUAAGAUGCUGCCCCUCCUACAAGUGAUACAUGCGUCUGCUUCUCCUGCACAACUAGAGAGAAGUCACCUAAAUCAUGACUGGGCACUAAAAUUGCCAGAGAGACUAAAUUAAUUAUCAAAAUAUCCGCAUUCAUUUUGCCACCCUUUAGAAGAACUUCCAAAAGCUCUAGGAGGAUGGCAUAUCAUCAUUUUCUGUGAUUCCAAUUGUAGUCAAUAUCAAAAGAUGCCUAAGUGUUGAGCUUGAAACACAUUUUCCAUCUACCUGUGUGUUACAGUGCUCCCAUUGUUAUGUUCUUCAUCAGUAUGUGCACUUUUAACUGUGUGCAUCAGAAGCUUCAGUAAACACUUUCACUUCUCACAAGCAAGCAGCCUCCGGUUGUUUUGUUUUUUACAGAAAAGUAUAUAUGAAAAGCUAGUUUCUGCAUGUCGUCCAGAUUUUCCUUAGCUGAAACAGUUAAGCUGGAGCGGUAAACAUGAAAGUGGUCAGUUUUUGCAUGCUGAAGUAGCACAGCAUUUUUUCUCCCCUGUGUUUCUUUCCAGCCCACAAAUAGAUCACACUAAAAAUGUCAUUUUUCCCUCUGGGUUGGUCACACAAACUGCUUGCAAUCAUUGUGAGAUGACAUAUGAAAUAAAAUGCAUCCACCUUAAAACACGAAAAGAGGGAAAUAUUGCUCUUGUUUCUAGAACUUUUUCACUGAAAGAAGCUUCUUGCUGCAGCCAAAAGUGACACUCUGAGAGCAGUGAGAGUGAAUCAAAACUGUAUAUUUGCAGAGCCGAGGGGAGCAGAUUUUGGUGAUAAUUCUGCUUUGGUUUGUCAACACCUCUAAUAUCACACAUGGAGUUUGAUAGAUUUUCAUUAUAAAAAUACUGAUUAUAGCAGCUUUAACAGCCAGUGUGGUCAUAUAACAAACUUUUGUGCCUGCCAACACAGAUUUGCACCAGUCAAAUUGCAGUACGGAAAUAUUCACACCCCCUGGUGAACAAGUGUAGGGGGCCCUAUCCUGGCAAAAAAAGAUAAGUUUUGUAAGUAAGAUAAAUAAAUGAAACUUAAAUUUCUUCUUUUUGGUAAUUAAAAUUAUGAGCAAAUGAUUGCACAAGUCAGAACAAAGACCAAUGAUGCUGAUUUCCUGGCAAAACAAAUAUUGUUAUUUAAAGAUUACAAUAUUUCCUCAAAAACAGUGCCAUUACAUCUCUUCUUUGUUGAUCAAGUGAUUUUACUUAAUAAAAAUACUAUGUCAGCCUACUGAAUGGCUAUAAAUGUGAGUCAUGUGCACGAUGCAAAGAGACUUUCUGUUCUGUUCUUUAGACCGUGGGGAUUUCUCCUGGGUCAUAAACCUCUAUGGAAUUCAAUCCACAUCUGUUCGCCUUUCUUCAUUUUUAUGCUUCUUAUCAUCAGGCUGUUUAGCUAUCUGGUUGUCUGUCUAUCUGUCCAGAGGAAGUGAUACGCAUGGUCUCAUAUGAUUAACAUCCAUCAUAUGAGCUUGUUUCGACAAGGCUACCAUGAGAAUAAUGGUGUCUGUGAAAGGGUGGUUACACUGCCAACAAAACAUCAACCACCCUUGUCACCCAUCUCUCAUGUUAGUAAGCUCCAGGCGCACACAUACACCCACCACACAUACAGUAGCAUGUUCAUAUUAACUCUCAGUGCUGAGUGUUGUUGCAUAAGUCUGCGUGUGUGUGUGUGUGUGUGUGUGUGUGUGUGUAUCGUCUGAAGCUGCUGUCAUGAGGAGAUAGCAAGUUCCCCCGGGGUUGUCAGUGACCUUGUGCUUCUCAAUGAGCUUUUUUCUCAUGUUCAAACAGAGCAACAACUCCCAGCAGUGCGCCUCCUUCACAAACAGUCACAGCUCCUCAUUAUUCCUCCUUCACAUGUCACAAAGACGCAGUACAUUUCCCACCUGUGGAACACUUCCCACCUCACCGGAUGUUGUGUGUCACCAAUCUAAUUUAUCUUGAUCUUUGUGUUUCUUGUGAUCUCUUCUGUGCUUUGGUCUGUGUAUGAUCACUUGACUUUUUGUGACAACUUUAUGUCAGUGAGAUUCUAAAGUAAGACUACUGUACAUCCGUCACUACUGCUACAACCCAUCUUGCUACUGCUACUUCUGUAACUCAGCAUGUAAAGUGCCUUCCAUAGUCAUGUGUACACCUGAACAUUACAUCCAUAUGUGAUGUUGAGCAUCUCAUUCCAAAACUCUGGGCAUUAAUAUAGUUAUAACAACUUCCACUAUUCUGGGAACGCUUUCCACAAGAUUAUGGCUGCAGGGAUUUGUGGAAUUUUAAUGGUUUUGUCAUUACACCUGGUACAACAAAAUGUUGUUUAGCAACUAACCAGAGUUGUAAAUUAGGGAUGCACCGAUCUGAUAUUGAUAUCGGUCCAUCUGUUCAUUUGAAUAAUGUGCAUACUACGCGAUGCAUCAGCAGUGUAGAUUGCAACCUUUUGCUAGGAGAGCCAACAUUGAAUUUUUGGACUCUUAAGCAAGCAAGCUAUAAAAAGCAAAAAGUAUAUAAUGUACAAUGUAAAUUCUUUGGAAGACGUUUGCUCUGCAUUCUCAGUAUUAUGGCAGGGACUGCGAAGAGACAGAAGUAAACGUCUAAGCUUAGGAAGCUAAAGGGAAAAAGAGCAAGUGACCGGACAAGAGUACAUUUCAGACUGGCUAUUACUUGGCACCAGAGAUGGGGACUCGAGUUAGAGACUCGGACUCGGAGUGCAACUUAAGUCGCACACACAGUGACUUG